UUGAAGGGAUUCCUGACGAGAUUUCCCGACUUCUUGAGCAAGAAAAGAAGAUCACUCAGCUGCAUCUCGAGAAUCAGCAGAACAGCCAACUGGGGCAUUACAAAAAAGAAAAAAAAAAGAAAAAAGAAAGAGGAGGGUGCAAAAUAAAAAAAAAAGAAAUCGAAAUAAAAAAAAAAGAAAUCAAAAUAAAAAAAAAAAGAAAUCGNUAAAAAAAAAAGAAAUCGAAAUAAAAAAAAAAGAAAUCAAAAUAAAAAAAAAAAGAAAUCGAAAUCAAAAAAAAAAAAAAUCGAACAAAAAGAAAGUCAAAAGAAAGAAAGAAACAAAAGAAGAAUAGCACCCUCAAAGUCCCAAGUUGACUGAUGCUGAAUGGUUUCAGAGUCGUUACGACCAACUGAAUCGGAUCGAAA
rnacentral:lncRNA from 1 species